rnacentral:rRNA from 1 species
GUGGGGAAUUUUGGACAAUGGGGGCAACCCUGAUCCAGCCAUGCCGCGUGAGUGAAGAAGGCCUUCGGGUUGUAAAGCUCUUUCGGCGGGGAAGAAAUGGCAACGGCUAAUAUCCGUUGUUGAUGACGGUACCCGCAUAAGAAGCACCGGCUAACUACGUGCCAGCAGCCGCGGUAAUACGUAGGGUGCGAGCGUUAAUCGGAAUUACUGGGCGUAAAGCGUGCGCAGGCGGUUUCGUAAGACAGACGUGAAAUCCCCGGGCUCAACCUGGGAACUGCGUUUGUGACUGCGAGGCUAGAGUACGGCAGAGGGGGGUAGAAUUCCACGUGUAGCAGUGAAAUGCGUAGAGAUGUGGAGGAAUACCGAUGGCGAAGGCAGCCCCCUGGGUUAGUACUGACGCUCAUGCACGAAAGCGUGGGGAGCAAACAGGAUUAGAAACCCUAGUAGUCC